GUCAUUUGCUUAUAAGUAUAUUUGGAGCUAUUAAAGUUACAUGUUUACAAAUAUUUAUAUAAAAAUGACAUAAAAACACAGAACAUAUUAUGAUAUAUACACACACACAUACAACUUAACCAUUAAGGCUUAACAUGUCUUGUUGGAAACUGCCUUUAGCUGUUUUUAGUUGUAGAAUGUAUCUACUUUGAAUUUAUUUUAUAAAUAUUGAUGUUGAUAAUUUAACACACUAUUUUGCACAUUUGCAUAAUAUAUAUUUGUUAAAAUAUUAGUAUGUAUUAAAC